UGCCCUGUGACAAUGUUUAACGGCCGCGGUAUUUUGACCGUGCGAAGGUAGCGUAAUCACUUGUCUUUUAAAUGAAGACCUGUAUGAAAGGCAUCACGAGAGUUUAACUGUCUCUAUUUUCUAAUCAAUGAAAUUGAUCUUCCCGUGCAGAAGCGGGAAUAUUAUCAUUAGACGAGAAGACCCUAUGGAGCUUCAAACACUUAAGCUAAUUUAUGUAAAAUAUUAAUUCCCAUGGGUAUAAACAUUUAUACUAUAUUUCUAACUUAACUGUUUUCGGUUGGGGUGACCAAGGAGGAAAAAAAAGCCUCCUUAUCGACUGAGUAUUUAAUACUUAAAAAAUAGAAUAACAAUUCUAAUUAAUAAAACAUUUAUCGAAAAAUGACCCAGAAUAUAUCUGAUCAAUGAACCAAGUUACCCUAGGGAUAACAGCGCAAUCCUUUCCCAGAGUCCCUAUCGCCGAAAGGGUUUACGACCUCGAUGUUGGAUCAGGACAUCCUAAUGGUGCAACCGCUAUUAAGGGUUCGUUUGUUCAACGAUUAAUAGUCCUACGUGAUCUG
rnacentral:rRNA from 1 species